rnacentral:lncRNA from 1 species
GUUUAUUGGUAGCGGUCCGGUAAAAAAUACAUUUAGGUUGUGGGUCUUUUCCUAUAAUAAAGAAGAUAGAUGUCCCGUCAGAAAAAUGUUUAUGUAGCAGUCACAAACUCUAUAGGUACAACAAUUGUUUAAAAAAAGGACUAUAUAUAUACAGUAUACAUGCUAAAAGGAUGCGGUGUCCUAUUUUGGAAAAAGAAGACCGAAAGGGCAGGUCGGAUUAAACACUAGAUUUUAACUGAUGAGAUAACCUAGAUACAAUGCCAAAAGGAUACAGUGUCCUAUUUUAGAAAAAGAAGACCAAGGGGGCAGGUCGGAUUAAACAAUACUGUGAAUAGCUGAGAUUACGUAGAUACAUGCAGCGUUCUAUUUUGGAAAGAGAAGACCGAGGAGACAUGUACAUGCACGUUUAUUGGUAGCGGUCCGGUAAAAAAUACAUUUAGGUUGUGGGUCUUUUCCUAUAAUAAAGAAGAUAGAUGUCCCGUCAGAAAAAUGUUUAUGUAGCAGUCACAAACUCUAUAGGUACAACAAUUGUUUAAAAAAAGGACUAUAUAUAUACAGUGUAUAUCUGCGUCAAAGGAAAAGGUACAAAUAUAUCUAAGGCACACGUAGAUGCAUCUCAAAAAAGGGCACACAUACAUGUACCAAAAUGAGAUCGCAUAAUAAAGAAAGAAGAAAAAUAAGGGACUCCAUUGUAACACCGGCGUGACUAUGACGACCUCUUCAUUAUCAUCACCAUCGAGCGGCCGGAAGCCGAGAACUCCAGUGGUUCUUCUGCAGUGCCACCG